rnacentral:rRNA from 1 species
GACGAACGCUGGCGGCGUGCCUAAUACAUGCAAGUAGAACGAGUGGCGGACGGGUGAGUAAUGUCUGGGAAACUGCCCGAUGGAGGGGGAUAACUACUGGAAACGGUAGCUAAUACCGCAUACCAUCGGAUGUGCCCAGAUGGGAUUAGCUAGUAGGGGGGGUAACGGCUCACCUCGGCGACGAUCCCUAGCUGGUCUGAGAGGAUGACCAGCCAAACUGGAACUGAGACACGGUCCAGACGCCUACGUGAGGCAGCAGUGGGUAAGAUUGCACAAUGGGCGCAAGCCUGAUGCAGCCAUGCCGCGUGUAUGAAGAAGGCCUUCGGGUUGUAAAGUACUUUCAGCGAGGAGGCGUUACUCGCAGAAGAAGCACCGGCUAACUCCGUGCCAGCAGCCGCGGUAAUAC